CUAGUACUCCCUCCGUCCAAAAAUACUUGUCAGAGAAAUGAACGUAUCUAGACAUAUGUUAGUUCUAGAUACAUCCAUUUUUAUUGGUUCCUUCGACAAGUAAUUACGGAUGGAGGGAGUAUUUA
rfam:Triticum aestivum genome assembly, contig: Triticum_aestivum_CS42_TGACv1_scaffold_220864_3B